GAUGAACGCUAGCGGCAGGCCUAAUACAUGCAAGUCGAACGAUAGAAGAGGGCUUGCUCUCUUCGAAAGUGGCGCACGGGUGCGUAACGCGUAUGCAACCUACCUUAAUCAGGGGGAUAGCCCGAAGAAAUUCGGAUUAACACCGCAUAAAAUCACAGUACAGCAUUGUACAUUGAUCAAAUAUUUAUAGGAUUAAGAUGGGCAUGCGUGACAUUAGCUAGUUGGCGGGGUAACGGCCCACCAAGGCGACGAUGUCUAGGGGAUCUGAGAGGAGGACCCCCCACACUGGUACUGAGACACGGACCAGACUCCUACGGGAGGCAGCAGUAAGGAAUAUUGGUCAAUGGAGGCAACUCUGAACCAGCCAUGCCGCGUGCAGGAAGACGGCCCUCUGGGUUGUAAACUGCUUUUAUUCGGGAAUAAACCUCAUUAUAUAUAGUGAGCUGAAUGUACCGAAGGAAUAAGGAUCGGCUAACUCCGUGCCAGCAGCCGCGGUAA
rnacentral:rRNA from 1 species